AUUACCGCGUGAGCUGGCACGAGUUAGCCGGAUGUUAUUCUUCGCUACCGUCCUCAUCGUCGCGUGGAAGAAGUUUACAACCGAAAGGCCUUCGUCUUUCACGCGGCCUCCCUGGAUCAGGGUUGCCCCCAUUGUGCAAUAUUCCCCACUGCUGCCUCCAGUAGAAGUCG
rnacentral:rRNA from 1 species